AGAUUGAACGCUGGCGGCAUGCUUUACACAUGCAAGUCGAACGGUAACAGGCCGCAAGGUGCUGACGAGUGGCGAACGGGUGAGUAAUGUAUCGGAACGUGCCCAGUCGUGGGGGAUAACGCAGCGAAAGCUGCGCUAAUACCGCAUACGAUCUAUGGAUGAAAGCGGGGGACCGUAAGGCCUCGCGCGAUUGGAGCGGCCGAUAUCAGAUUAGGUAGUUGGUGGGGUAAAGGCCCACCAAGCCAACGAUCUGUAGCUGGUCUGAGAGGACGACCAGCCACACGUGGGACUGAGACACGGCCCAGACCUCCUACGGGAGGCAGCAGUGGGAAUUUUGGACAAGUGGGCGCAAGCCUGAUCCAGCAAGUGCCGCGUGACAGGGAAGAAGGCCUUAGGGUUGUAAACUGUCUUUUAGUACGUAACGUAACGU
rnacentral:rRNA from 1 species